rnacentral:rRNA from 1 species
AGUGAACGCUGGCGGUAGGCCUAACACAUGCAAGUCGAACGGCAGCACAGUAAGAGCUUGCUCUUACGGGUGGCGAGUGGCGGACGGGUGAGGAAUACAUCGGAAUCUACUUUUUCGUGGGGGAUAACGUAGGGAAACUUACGCUAAUACCGCAUACGACCUACGGGUGAAAGCAGGGGAUCUUCGGACCUUGCGCGAUUGAAUGAGCCGAUGUCGGAUUAGCUAGUUGGCGGGGUAAAGGCCCACCAAGGCGACGAUCCGUAGCUGGUCUGAGAGGAUGAUCAGCCACACUGGAACUGAGACACGGUCCAGACUCCUACGGGAGGCAGCAGUGGGGAAUAUUGGACAAUGGGCGCAAGCCUGAUCCAGCCAUACCGCGUGGGUGAAGAAGGCCUUCGGGUUGUAAAGCCCUUUUGUUGGGAAAGAAAAGCAGCAGGUUAAUACCCCGCUGCUCUGACGGUACCCAAAGAAUAAGCACCGGCUAACUUCGCG